rnacentral:rRNA from 1 species
GUGAGGAAUAUUGCGCAAUGGAGGCAACUCUGACGCAGCCAUGCCGCGUGCAGGAAGAAGGCGCUACGCGUUGUAAACUGCUUUUAACCGGGAAGAAACCCCAGGACGUGUCCUGGGUUGACGGUACCGGAGGAAUAAGCACCGGCUAACUUCGUGCCAGCAGCCGCGGUAAUACGAAGGGUGCAAGCGUUAUCCGGAUUCAUUGGGUUUAAAGGGUGCGUAGGCGGAGCGUUAAGUCAGUGGUGAAAUCCUGCAGCUUAACUGUAGACUUGCCAUUGAUACUGGCGCUCUUGAGUGCGGUUGAAGUGGGCGGAAUGUGCCGUGUAGCGGUGAAAUGCUUAGAUAUGGCACAGAACACCAAUCGCGAAGGCAGCUCACUAAGGCGAUACUGACGCUGAGGCACGAAAGCGUGGGGAUCGAACAGGAUUAGAUACCCUAGUAGUCC